GCCUGCCCCAGGAGGCUGUCAGGAAAUGGGCUGAGCAGAGAGGCAGGGCUCCUCCCCAGGCCUCCCCCAGCCCCACCCACUCUGGGUCAUCAGCUGGGUGGUCUUCUAGGAGAGCCCCUCAGUCUCUGCCCGCCUGUGACAGCUGUCCAGAGCCCGGCACUGACUCCUUCCUUGUGUCCUGGGGUCCUUGUCUUUCGAGCAGGACUGGAGUAUCAUCUGUCCUUUCCUUCUAAGGCCAGAGGAGGAAGACAUGCUGUGGGCUCUCGCCCUCCUUCUAGCUUUCCUGGCUCCUGCCACUCAGGUAUCUUCCAACUUGGAAGGGACACAGAUAUCGGUCACCAGACAGGCUGGUUUAGCUGUUGAAAUCACCUGUGAUAUUAAACAAAGCAGCGGCAUCAUCCACUGGUACCGAUACCAGGAGGGGACAGCCCCACAACGCCUUCUCUACUACCAGUUCUCCAGCUCAAAGUUUGUGGUGGACUCGGGGUUCAGUUCACAGAAAUACUAUGCUUCUAAAGACACAGGGGGGACCUGUAAACUUUUAAUCAAAUCUCUGCAAGAGAGAGAUUCUGGUGUGUAUUGCUGUGCUGUCUGGGAGAGGCACAGUGAUUCAUAUCUCCUCUAUCCUGCACAGAAAAUUUUGCUUGUGGUUGCCAAGAGCAGCCUUGACACCCAGGAAAGACCAGCCCCUGCCUCCCUUCCUGCCUUGAUUUCACUGUGCUCUGAACAUGAGAGACCCUGUGCUCAGCGACCAACCUCCACCCUUACAGCCCACUGGCCUGUCCCCAGCUUCAGUGAGUCAUGGCACAUUCUGAAAGAUCCACCCCUAAUCUCAAGGCCUUAGACAAGCAGUCUGAAGACACCAUAUUCUUUCAGCUCUCCUAGGAACUGGUGGAGUCCAUUCUAUCUGCUUCCUGGGACAGACAAGGUCACCUCUCUAGGUGAUGUGUUCAGGGAGACAUUUAGGAGAGCAGUAUAGGAAGGCUAGUGGUACUGAAUCAUUUAUCCAAUCAUUAUCCAGAGAAAAUGGCUGGGAAAGGAGCUCCUGCCGUACUGAGGAGAAUGAGAUUUGAUGGAAUGAAGACUUUGGACUUCAUGAAGACCUCAAGCUGGUAUUCGAUUUAUCUUUUGGACAAACUGAUAUUUCCCUCACCAUAGUCAACCAUGGCAUUGUUGAGACGGUGAAAGUGUAGGAAUAAAGUGAUUAUUGUAGAGAUGCCAACCAUUGUGCUCUAUUCAGCCUCACCCAGAACUGCUCUGUCUUAGGCAAGUAAAGCCAAAGCUCCCUUCACCCCUUCCCCAACAGUGACACGGCCAAGUCC